UACGUAGGGUGCAAGCGUUAAUCGGAAUUACUGGGCGUAAAGGGUGCGUAGGCGGGUCUUUAAGUCAGGGGUGAAAUCCUGGAGCUCAACUCCAGAACUGCCUUUGAUACUGAGGAUCUUGAGUUCGGGAGAGGUGAGUGGAACUGCGAGUGUAGAGGUGAAAUUCGUAGAUAUUCGCAAGAACACCAGUGGCGAAGGCGGCUCACUGGCCCGAUACUGACGCUGAGGCACGAAAGCGUGGGGAGCAAACAGG
rnacentral:rRNA from 1 species